UCCGAGUUGACCCCGGCAGUCUCCUAUGAGUCCCCACCAUUACGUGCUGGCAACAUAGAACGAGGGUUGCGCUCGUUGCGGGACUUAACCCAACAUCUCACGACACGAACUGACGACAGCCAUGCAGCACCUCACCAGAUGCCCGAAGGAGGACCCCUUUCAGGGCCUGUCAUCUGGUGUUCGAGCCUGGGUAAGGUUCUUCGCGUUGCAUCGAAUUAAUCCACAUGCUCCACCGCUUGUGCGGGCCCCCGUCAAUUCCUUUGAGUUUCACCCUUGCGAGCGUACUCCCCAGGUGGGAUGCUUAUCGCGUUAGCUUAGGCACUGCGCCUGACGGCGCAGCACCGAGCAUCCAUGGUUUACGGCGUGGACUAC
rnacentral:misc_RNA from 1 species